GAGUUUGAUCCUGGCUCAGAACGAACGCUGAUGGCGUGCCUCAUACAUGCAAGUCGAGCGCCCCGCAAGGGGAGCGGCGAACGGGUGAGUAACGCGUGAACAAUCUGCCUCAAAGUGGGGGAUAACCAUUCCAACGGAUGGCUUAUACCGCAUAGGGUUUGAGGGUCGCAUGACCCUUUUACGAAAGCAUUUAUGCGCUUUGAGAUGAGUUCGCGUCCCAUUAGCUAGUUGGCGGGGUAACGGCCCACCAAGGCGACGAUGGGUAGCCGGCCUGAGAGGGUGUCCGGCCACAUUGGGACUGACAUACGGCCCGGACUCCUACGGGAGGCCCCAGUACGGAAGUUUGCGCAAUGUGGGAAACCCUGACGCAGCGGCGAAAUGUGUGGGAUGAAGCAUUUUGGCGUGAAACCACUGUCGCGGGAAUAAACCCCGCGUUUACGCAUGAAGU
rnacentral:rRNA from 1 species